rnacentral:rRNA from 1 species
AGUGAACGCUGGCGGUAGGCCUAACACAUGCAAGUCGAACGGCAGCACAGUAAGAGCUUGCUCUUACGGGUGGCGAGUGGCGGACGGGUGAGGAAUACAUCGGAAUCUACUUUUUCGUGGGGGAUAACGUAGGGAAACUUACGCUAAUACCGCAUACGACCUACGGGUGAAAGCAGGGGAUCUUCGGACCUUGCGCGAUUGAAUGAGCCGAUGUCGGAUUAGCUAGUUGGCGGGGUAAAGGCCCACCAAGGCGACGAUCCGUAGCUGGUCUGAGAGGAGGUCCGGCCACGUGGGAAAUGGGCCACGGUCCAGCCCCCACGGGGGGGCCGCAGGGGGGAAUUUGGGAAAAGGGGGGCAAGCCUGACCCAGCCAUACCGGGGGGGUGAAGAAGGCCUUCGGGUUGUAAAGCCCUUUUUUUGGGAAAAAAAACCAGCAGGUUAAAACCCCGCUGUUCUGACGGGACCCAAAAAAGAAGCACCGGCUAACUUCGG